rnacentral:ncRNA from 1 species
CAACCUCAACUCAUAUGGGACUACCCCCUGAAUUUAAGCAUAUUAAUUAGGGGAGGAAAAGAAACUAACAAGGAUUUUCUUAGUAGCGGCGAGCGAAAAGAAAUCAGUUCAGCACUAAGUCACUUUGUCUAUAUGGCAAAUGUGAGAUGCAGUGUACGGAACAUCAACAUUCUAGUAUGAGAAGUUAACGAUUUAAGUCCUUCUUAAAUGAGGCCAUUUACCCAUAGAGGGUGCCAGGCCCGUAUAACGUUAAUGAUUACUAGAUGGUGUUUCCAAAGAGUCGUGUUGCUUGAUAGUGCAGCACUAAGUGGGUGGUAAACUCCAUCUAAAACUAAAUAUAACCAUGAGACCGAUAGUAAACAAGUACCGUGAGGGAA